GUUCCUUUAGCUUAGACGGGUAGAGAGCGUAGCGGGGUCGUCGGUUCGAUUCCGGCAAGGAACACCA
rnacentral:tRNA from 1 species